rnacentral:rRNA from 1 species
UAAGACCACGGGUCUGCGGACCUGCGGUUAAAGAUUGCCUCUAUUUAUAAGCUUUCGCUCAGGGAGGGGCCCAGGUCCCAUUAGCUAGUUGGUAGGGUAACGGCCUACCAAGGCGAUGAUGGGUAGCCGGACUGAGAGGUUGUUCGGCCACACUGGGACUGAGACACUGCCCAGACUCCUUCGGGAGGCUGCAGUCGAGGAUCUUUUGCAAUGCGCGCAAGCGUGACAGAGCGACGCCGCGUGGACGAUGAAGGCCUUCGGGUUGUAAAGUCCAAUCUUGGGGAAAGAAUGGCUGGAGGUUAAUAGCCUGCCAGCUUGACGUUACUCCGGUUGAAGCGCCGGCUAAACUCGUGCCAGCAAGCCGCGGUAAUACGAGUGGCGCAAGCGUUGUUCGGAAUCACUGGGCAUAAAAGCGCGCGUAGGCGGUGCCAUAAGUCGGAUGUGAAA